AUUGAACGCUGGCGGCAGGCCUAACACAUGCAAGUCGAACGAGUGGCGGACGGGUGAGUAAUGUCUGGGAAACUGCCUGAUGGAGGGGGAUAACUACUGGAAACGGUAGCUAAUACCGCAUACCAUCAGAUUUGCCCAGAUGGGAUUAGCUUGUUGUUGGGGUAACGGCUCACCAAGGCGACGAUCCCUAGCUGGUCUGAGAGGAUGACCAGCCACCCUGGACCUGAAAACCGGCCCAGACUCCACCGGGAGGCAGCGUGGGGAAAUUUUGCACAAUGGGCGCAAGCUUGAUGCAGCCAGGCCGCUUGGAGGAAGAGGGCCUUCGGGUUUUAAAGUACUUUCAUAGGGGAGGCGUUACCCGCAGAAGAAGCACCGGCUAACUCCGUGCCAGCAGCCGCGGUAAUUC
rnacentral:rRNA from 1 species